rnacentral:tRNA from 1 species
GCCUGGAUGGCUCAGUCUGUUGAGCGUCUGACUUCAGCUCAGGUCAGGAUCUGGCAGUUUGCGAGUUCGAGCCCUGUGUCAGGCU